rnacentral:rRNA from 1 species
CAGUCGCCGCGGUAAUACGAAGGGUGCAAGCGUUACUCGGAAUUACUGGGCGUAAAGCGUGCGUAGGCGGUGGUUUAAGUCCGUUGUGAAAGCCCUGGGCUCAACCUGGGAAUUGCAGUGGAUACUGGGUCACUAGAGUGUGGUAGAGGAUAGUGGAAUUUCCGGUGUAGCAGUGAAAUGCGUAGAGAUCGGAAGGAACAUCUGUGGCGAAGGCGACUAUCUGGGCCAACACUGACACUGAGGCACGAAAGCGUGGGGAGCAAACAGGAUUAGAUACCCCUGUAGUCCCUGUCUCUUAUAC